rnacentral:rRNA from 1 species
CACUCCUUCCCAUUCCGAACAGGACAGUUAAGGUCUAUAGCGCCGAUGGUACUGCAUGGGAGACUGUGUGGAAGAGUAGGACGUCGCGAGGU